GCUGUCAGUGAUGCCUUUACCCAUCUUGUUUGAGAUUACCAUGAUAAGACUCACAUGCACUACCAUCUGAGACAGC